UAGUAAUGGCAGGUCAGCAUACUGCCGUGAAUACGUUCCCGGGCCCUUGUACACACCGCCCGUCACACCAUGAGAGUUGGGGAUACCCGAAGCCUGUGAGCUAACAGUAAUGAAGCAGCAGUCGAAGGUAGAAUCAAUGAUUGGGGUGAAGUCGUAACAAGGUAGC
rnacentral:rRNA from 1 species